GAUGAACGCUGGCGGCGUGCAUAAUACAUGCAAGUCGAGCGAACAGACGGGGAGCUUGCUCCUUUGACGAUAGCGGUGGUCGGGAGAGUCACAAGUGGAUACAGUCCCUAUAUGAGUGGGAUAAACACGGGACUCCGGAGACUAUACCGGCUGAUCUCCUGAACCGUAUGGUUCAAUGGCAAAAGACGGCUUUGUUGUUACUUAUAGAUGAAUACCAGCUGCAUUAGCUAGUUGGUAAGGUCACGGCCUACCAAGGCAACGAUGCGUAACCGAGCUGCUAGGAGGAGCGACCGCACUGGAACUAAGACACGCUCCAGACUCCUAAGGGAGGCAGCAGUCGGGAACGUGCCGCAGUGGGCGAAAACCUGACAAAACGACGCCACGUGAGUGAAGAAGAUCUUCGGGUCGUAAAGCACUAUUACGGGGAAAGAACAAAUGUGUAAUUUACUAUGCGCGGCCUGACGGUACCGGAUCAGUAAGCCUCGGCUAACUACGUG
rnacentral:rRNA from 1 species